rnacentral:lncRNA from 12 species
GUCUAUUUCAGAGUGAUAAAUGCACAUUCUACUGCUAAUGCUUCUUUCAGAAAUCUUGUGUAGCUUCACUGAAGCUAAUUUAUAAACCUUAACUACUGUAGCUAAUUUAACUCGCUAAUUUUAGACAUUGUAUUGAAUUAAAGUCUGCAUUUUAUUGUGUAUCAUUUUGUCUACUGCUAACAUUAAUAUGCAUUUUGUAAAGUGGAACUACAAAUGUUUUAAAUACAUAUUUAUGCUUUAAGAAGCAUUUGUGUUAAGUAGUUGUUUUUUUUUUCUUUUGUAUAUUUUAAAGGCUGUCCUAUCAGAUCAUAGAGCCAUCAAGCAAAGCCUCACAUGCAUAGGGCCAGAUGGAAGCGCAUCCCAGACUGGAAGGCCUGAUAGGAAUUUGCUCUGGCCUAGUUGGAAGCUGUAGGUGUUCAUCAUGUAGGCACACAUUGGAACGGAGGAUACACUCUACAAAGGCUUCUAAUUGGUAAGUUGGAAGGGAAUCCACUUGAUAAAAGAGAGGCAAGUUGG